CACAUGGAGCAUAGCUUCUGAAAUCAAGCUUAUUUGAUUUCAGAAGCUAAGCAGGAUCAGGCCUGGUUGGUACUGGAAUAGGAGACCACCAUGGAACACUGAAGAUCUCCUGGUAG
rnacentral:rRNA from 1 species